rnacentral:rRNA from 1 species
UACAGAGGGUGCAAGCGUUAAUCGGAAUUACUGGGCGUAAAGCGUGCGUAGGCGGUUUGUUAAGUCUGUUGUGAAAUCCCCGGGCUCAACCUGGGAAUGGCAAUGGAUACUGGCAAGCUAGAGUGUGUCAGAGGAUGGUGGAAUUCCCGGUGUAGCGGUGAAAUGCGUAGAGAUCGGGAGGAACAUCAGUGGCGAAGGCGGCCAUCUGGGACAACACUGACGCUGAGGCACGAAAGCGUGGGGAGCAAACAGG